UGCCUAAGAAAUCCCUUACCAUAAAUACUUCACAAAGCUCUGAGGAGGGCAGAUUCUGGCCAGAAACAUCCGUGCCCCUUUGAAACCAGGCACCUUGCCGUAUUUCAGCCAAUCCUGGCAGACGCUAUCUCUGGGAUUUGCCAACACUAUUAAGGAAAGGAAAUUACAAGUUUCUGGUGGAGGUGGGGAGAGCUGCACUCGGCGCUCUGCUUAGAGGAAAGUGCUUAUGAGGUGUGCCUUGCUGAGUACAUAUUACAUGUGUCUGAAUAACUCAGACCUCUAUCUGGUUCCUUACUACAGCUACAGAGAAACAACAUAAGAAGAUAAGCAACACGGUGUGCAGCUAAGAACUUAGGUAUCACUGAGGCCAUUUCGUCCAUUCAUCAAUCAUUGGCCUAGGAGAAAGAGAACAUUCACCAGCAUUGUUUCUGCCAGGCAAGUCAUUGCUCUGCUUCAUUCUUUACAUCCUCAGAACUGCCAAAUCCUGUGCCAUCACAUUUUGAAAUGCAUGUAGUUGCUGUGCUCCUUUUCUGCAUCUUUUUUUGCAGCACCUGGGGAGCAUGUCUCUUGGUAGCUCAGGUCUGCCCACUUUUACAGGGGAACAAGUCCCCAUGGAGAACAGAGAGAAGUAUCUGGUCUCAAUUUGCUGCUAUAGCAAGAGACCCUGCUGAGUACUUUCAGAUGGUUUUGGCUGAGCUCAAGGCAUUGUUGGAUGAGGCAGAGAUGGGAAAACUAUAGCUGUAUAUAAUUAUAUUCCCAGAGUCACAGAGAUGAAUUUUGGCUUUAUUCUAAAUCCCCCUCAAAGCACAAAACUAUUUUUUCCUGACAUGAACAUCUACUUGCCUCAGUAACAGUAAGAGAACCUUGUCUGUUAUGAGUUAUCUUCUUCCUCAUCCCCUUGACCCGCAUGGCUGUGAGAGUACUAUGUCGCUCGUGUCCUACCUAGAGUGGGGCUAAGCCUUGAAAAACUGUGAUGUUCUUAGGCACACUUAAGGGGAAAAGGUAAUUAUUAAGUGUAAAGCUCAAGGCCAAAAUCCCAUCUCCUCCACAAAACCUUCAAGCUAAAAUAGCCUCUCUUAACCUUGAAUUCCUAUGCACUGCCCUGACAUUCAACCAAAAGAGCUCUAAACUUCCAUGAGUUCUGCUGUUUUAUGUGUCGUUUCUCCUGUGGAUCUCAGGUUGUUAGAAGGUGGAGAUCUUGUUUUAGUUUUUCCUUCAUGUCCUGGUGACACCUGCUUCAAUAAGCUCCUAUUAAGUGCUCAUUAAAUGCUGGCUUAAUUAAUGAAUAAGUCUUCCUCCCUCUUCCACCAGUCCCAUCAGACUACAUUGAUUCCCUCCAGUUUAUACUCUAGAGCUCAACUAGUGAGCUAUUUUUGUGAUCCUGGCUAUUAAUCUCAGCAAGACUGACAGCAGUAAAAUCAAACUGGCUUUGUCCGGGAGAGCAGACCAGGAGCCGUCUGAGCAGGAGACAGCGCUGCUGUCACUGUCAUCCUGCAUCCAACCAAUGCCUUCUGAGAGCAGUUUCCAGCUUGAAAACAAAGUAGAGCAGAUAAGUAUGGUCCCAUUACAUAUGUUACAGGAAAACCUGGGAUUAAAAUCUUCUUAAAUGGUUCUCUUCCUGAUUGCAUUCUAGAGGUCACUUCCGUUUACAAACCAGAAAAAAACUUCGAGUUUGAAAGAACAGCUAUGACCUACUCCAAGCAGACAGGACUGAGGUGAAGCUUGACCUCGAUGCAGCUCCCACACUCUUCCACUCCCAGCCCCCGCUGCACUGCUGUUUUCACCAGAAAUCAGACAGUUCUCUGUCCAGUAUUAUUUCUUACUUAAAUAAAAAACCAAAAGACAAAACAAAAAACAUCUGUUGCAAACAAAUAGGACUUGAUAAAUUUUCCCAUUAGGAAAAAAAUUUUUUUUAAAUGAUGCAGAAAAAGAGUGAUGAUUAAUACAAAUAUAUUGUCAAUGGCAGAAAUUCAAGCAUUAGCUCAGUCCAGCUGCAAAACACAGGCAUCUUUUCUGUUAGUGACAGGGACUCAAGGAUUAGUGCAGUCAUGGUGCAGAAGCAGCAGCAACGAAAAGGCUUUUUACCUGAGGGUAGGUGACUCCUGACGGUAGGUGAGUAUUCAUGAUGCUGGUGCUCAUCGUAAUAAAUAUUUCCUGCAGAAUCAGGAGUGCAAACAUUCCUGGCCACAUCACUUAGCAUUGCUUUAUUUUAAAAGGGAGAGGUCAUCUCACCCAGCUGUUUGGUGAUCUAAUAUUCCGGAAUGAAAACAACUAAAGGUUAGCAAUGAAUCUCAGUCCUGAAUCCAAGCUGAUACUUUCACUUUAGAGGCCUGGGUUUAUCUGGAGAGAAAAACCAAACAGACCCCUUAGGAAAAGGAAAUGCAGCACUACUAAGCUUUUUACUUUGCAGAAGUGUCUUCUAAGGGAGCCCAGGAGCCAGUCACAUGGCUCAGCUUCUCCUUAUCCACCUUCUGAGGCGGCUCUCCCAUUUGGGUUGGUUCUGCUAUCUUAUAAUGACUAGUUAAAACCUGUGCCCUUGAGUUUUGGCCAAAAUUUGGACACAAACUCAUUUCUUUGCUCUUCUCCUUAACAUAGCUAAGUCACGUCAGAACUUUCACAAAUACCAAGUAAAACAAAUGUAAAGAGCAUAGAAUAUAUCCAUACAUGAAAACUCUUUGGUAUAUGCUUUAUACUGAGUUAUCCUCCAAGAGCCUCAUGUGCUCAGAGGCAGGGUUUUGGGAAGGCGAUUGAGUUAUAGGGGUGCCACAGCUAAAUGUCUGAUUAGGAGGUGGGGCCUGGUCAAGAGAGGUGGGUGGCUGUGGCUGUGACCUGAAAGGGUCUCUCUCCCUUCCUGGCUCCUCUCUUUGCCUUGGCUCCCUGGCUGCUGGGACCUGAGCCGCUUUUCCAUCUGUGUGCCCCUUCCGCCAUGCCAUCUGCCCUGGAGACAGCUGAUGCUGAGCUGAAACCUGUAACUCUUUCAAUGGUCAACUCCUUCCAGAUGUCUUGGCUAUGCUAUGGUCAAGAUCUGAAAAAAACAUAUUUCCAGGUGACCACUACAGUCUCCACUUUCCCAUUCCCUGACGCUCCUUCUACCAUGCUGUAGUCGGAGAAGUGCAUGUGUUAGCCAAGUGAUGGAUGCUAUGAGCCACCGCACUCUCCAGUUUUUCAAUCUCCAGAGAAAGUUUAUGUAACUCCAGCGCCAUUUUUGAGUCCCUGGGACUUGGGAGACACUGUAAGAGGUUUUUGCCUGCUUGGACAAUAUUACGAUCUUCAGGAACUUGCUGAAAAAGAAAAUCAAAAUGAUGAUUUUAGAAAGCCUUCCCAUUCCCUGUAAAGGGUUAAGCAUCUCUUGGGAUGCCAUGUGACACGAGGACUGUUGGAAGGUAUCAUCAUGAUUUAGAUCUACAAUUUUCCUCGGUAUCCUCGUGUGAUUGGGUCAUGGCAGGAGUUACAUUCGUCAGUGGAUUCAUCCAUUGCAGGGUGGACCCUUCCUCCAAGUCAUGUCUGAGCCACUCUGCAGAACUACUGUCCCUGGGAGCCUGGGUUACCUUGACACUGAGGAGCUGGUGAUGACCAUCCCAGAAACCUGCAGGAGAUUAUGGCUGCUCCGACCAGAGCAUAUCCUUCGUUGCACUCAUACUGCACCUCGGUAGUGAGCGCCAGGUAUCCGGUAAGAUAGAAAUGCAGAGGAAGUGCAGAGAGGUGAAGCAGCUUGCCCAAGGUCAGACAGUGUGUGAGAAGAAUCAGUGUAGUUUGCUGGACAGCGUCCAUGCCCUGAACAGCAUGCCUCAGUUAAGAGGAUGUGAUACUUGUGGGCCGAGGAUGACCUUUCAAUAUUAAGCUUAAUAUUGGUAAAAGAGGAGUCCUCUACUCAAGAAACAUGUGAUAUGGAGGAGUUGCCCUGCAAGAACUCGUAAGGGCUGUGCAAGCCCAGAACACCCAAAUACUUUCUCCCACUAACCCCAGGAAUGGCACUGGUUUUUAAAUCUCUUAUAGAAGAGAAUCAUGCAGAAAUUUUGUCUUAAAUGCUUGAGUAAUAGAAAUUGCUUACCAACUGCAAAAAUAAAAUUUUGUAUUUGUAUAACAUUUUAAGGCUUACAAAGAACUUUCAUGCACAUUUCUUAUGACUUUAAUUCUAGUUGAUUUUCUCAGAAUUUGAGGCAAUAAUCAUUUUAUAUUUCCUUUACAGACAGUAAAAGGUGACAGCAAAUUAGUAAAUGUAUAGCAGGAAAUAAAUAACUCCCUUAAAAGCAAAGGAAUUUUAAGCAUUUUCAUAUUUAGAUGUGAUGAAGUUCUUUAAAAUUAUUCUUGUGGGAAUGCA